CGCAACUGAAAUUAGCUUGUAAAAUAAAUUUGCAAAGAUCCAUGCGAUUUAUCAGCAAUCUUUUCGUUUCUAUCCAUCGUUUGACUAUAUGAAUGCAUUAACAAUAUCUCAGCGACCCUAUCGCUCUUCUCUAUUUUGUUGCGCUACUCUUUGUUUUCAUUCUACAGUUUUUGUUAACCUCGUUCUUAUUGCUAACCUCACUCAUAUUGACUGUGUUAAGACAUGCCCUUGAUGGAACUUGUCGUGCCCUGGUAUUGUUACUUCAAUGUUAGUCUAGUCAACAGCUGGCAACACAUAGCUUCAUUGAAUCCUGAUAAGAAGCCCCUCCUCAUCUAAAAAAAAAAAAAUUAAAAUUAAAACACGCUGAAUAGUCAGCGUCUAGCUUUCCUAUCCACUAUUAUCAUCGUCGCAUACGUCCACACUUGGUUGGGGUAUCUAGAAUACCAACGAAGAACUGCCUACCUAGAGAUAAAGCAACCCAACCUAAUUACCUACUUAGUAGCAAAAGUAAAUUUAGACUAUCACACAUUUGAGAUAAACUGAUUAUUUACAAUGACACCUUGUUAAUUUUAAUUACACAACAUGCAAUCGUAGUAAUAGCAAUGUAUAUCUUCAAGGCAACUCGUUAUGAAGCUUCAUUUCUUUAAACUGAUAUCCUCGUUCUCUAUAUCUCUCUCUCUUUCUGUGUGUGUGUGUGUGUGUAUCAACUCUCCCUUUGCUUUGCUCAUACAUGCAAGCGAACACAUGAGCACCCAUCAUACCCAGCCUGCUCUCUCUCUCGCUCUUUACGCGCUCCGAAAAUCUCCGUAAUUGCA